UCAAAAUUGCUUAUAUCCUUUAUCUGGUGGCGAUAAUCACAUGCGUGAGGUUCUGCUUUCUACCCCUAGGAUCCCGGAACCAUGCUCAGCUCAACACAAACUUGCCACGUUUUACACGUGUUGGUGUCGCCACAGAAGUCGUCAGAAUGUACUUUCUUCUGACAAGAAUAUAACUUAAAUUUCUUUCGAGAUACGUCAGCAUGGUCAUUGUCAAUUUACAAUAUGUGUUGGGGUGAGAAAGCAUUUCCAGUCUAAAAUCUCUGAAAAGAUGGCGGCGCGGUGUUUCAGUAAGUCCUUUGUGACCGUAUAAAGAAAUUCCGCGGAAUUUCCUUCCGCGGAUGUCUGAGGCUCCGGGACAGAUGUAAUCGUUUGCUCCUACUUACAUUACAGAGUUCCUUUCCUUAAUUUCAGGUAAAAAAGGGAGUUAAAACUCAUUUUCAAAUUACGAUAUAGACGUGUAAUGGUAAUUAUAAAAAGAACCCUUAGGAUACAAAAUUACAACUUACAAUUGUGAAGCAAGCUAGAUCCUUUCAAAUAGUCAUUUCUUUCAACCUCACAAGGUUUUAGAAUUUUUUUUUAACGCUCUUUAGUCUACUGUUUUUUUUCGAUCCAAUCAGAGUUUAGAUUGGUAACUCCUCGUUUACAUAUCCCUGCAUUGCACAGUAAAUUUGGAAAGAGUCUCAAUACUUUUCAAUUUGGUAGCAUGUUGCUCAGUUUACCAGAUACAAAGCAAAGAUGUUAGAGUCCGAGCGAAGCUCCCAAAGAACACCAACAGCCACGUCUUGCCAUAUAACCUUAGCUGGCAUUGAAUUAACAGAGAUCCCCUUGCCCCUUCUUCCUGAAGGCUGGAAUGAUUAAAGGGAUUGGCCACCAAGCCCACUGACUACUUUUUUGAGAUGACACAGUGUAUUACAGGUUUCGGGUCAACCCAGCACUGAAGCUAUUGUACUUAGCAAACUCACAUGUGUCUUGAACAUUUGAAUUGCCUAAGCAAUGCAAGUUAUUUGUGAUUAGUGGAAUGGACAGCACUCCAAAGAGCAUAGCUGGGCAAGCUGAUUCAUCAGGGGGACCACGGCAUCCCAACCCAAGGAGUUUAGUCUAAGCCUAUGCAAGGUUCCUAUCGCAAGAGAAGACAAUGAUGCAGGUUGUCCCCUGAUCACCAUAUCAUGGUCAUCUUUUGUGGGUGGUUACAACAGUAAAUGCAUAAACAAAAAUGUAACAACUAAAACUAAGAACUUCAAAGAUGAUUGGCUUCUGAAUAAUAAUUUUGUUUCACUUCAUGGUAGCAACAUUUUAUCCUUGCUUAAAAAAUUAUUUACAACAAUUCAUUUUUUGAAAUGGUUUAAGACCUUCAUAGCUUU